rnacentral:lncRNA from 1 species
AAAUUCUUUCCUUCCUCAAUCUCAGAAAAGAUCACAGUCUUAUCAAAACAGUUGAUAUAAACUCGGUUAAACACCAACCAGUUCAUACCCAAGAUAACAUCAAUCUGCACUAACGGAAGACACACAAGGUCUAUACCAAAGUCUCUACCAAAAAUACUCAAAGGACAAUUCAAACAAACUGAAGUAGUAGUCACUGAACCCUUCGCAGGAGUAUCAAUCACCAUACGACCAUGCAUCUCAGAUAUCUCUAACUUAAGUUUCACAGCACAAUCCAAAGAUAUAAAAGAAUGAGUAGCACCGGUGUCAAUAAUAGCUACAAGAGGAAAGCCAUUUAUAUAACACGUACCUCUGAUCAAACGAUCAUCUGCAGAAGUCUCAGAACCCGCUAGAGCAAAAACCUUGCCUCCCGACUGAUUCUCCUUCUUCGGUUUAGGGCACUGUGGGCUGAUAUGACCCACCUCUCCACAGUUGAAGCAAGUCACAGUCUUCAACCGGCAAUCUGCAGCCAAGUGACCACCUUUUCCACACUUGAAACACUUCUUCUCAGCACUAGUACAUUCGUGGAAACGAUGUCCAGCCUGACCACAUCUGUAACACUUAGCAGGAGCACUAGAAUCUCCCCCACUAGGCUUCUUUAUCCCACUCUGUCUCUGGAAACCUUUGCCAGCUGCAUACGGUUUCCCACGAUCAAUUUGAUUCUUGCCUUUCCUAUCAACCCUUUGCUGAUAGCUCUCUGCUCUAGCCUUGGAAUCCUGUUCAAAAAUCCUGCAACAGUCAACCAAAUCAGAAAACACCCUGAUUCGCUGAUAUCCAAUCGCCUGCUUGAUCUCGGGAAUAGCCUUGGAAUCCUGUUCAAAAAUCCUGCAACAGUCAACCAAAUCAGAAAACACCCUGAUUCGCUGAUAUCCAAUCGCCUGCUUGAUCUCGGGACGCAACCCGUUCUCAAACUUCACACAUUUGGAGAAUUCCCCAGUAGCCUCACUAUAGGGAGUAUAAUACUUUGACAGCUCUGUGAACUUAGCAGCAUACUCAGUAACCGACCGGUUACCCUGCUUCAAUUCCAAGAACUCUAUCUCUUUCUUUCCUCUGACAUCCUCUGGAAAGUACUUCCUCAGAAAUCUCUCUCUGAACACUGCCCAAGUAAUCUCAGCAUUCCCUGCAGUUUCCAACUCAGUGCGGGUAGCAACCCACCAAUCAUCAGCUUCUUCUGACAGCAUAUGCGUACCGAACCUGACCUUCUGGUUAUCGGCACACUCGGUCACUCUGAAGAUUCUCUCGAUCUCCUUCAACCACUUCUGAGCACCAUCUGGAUCGUAUGCUCCCUUGAACAUUGGAGGAUUAUUCUUCUGGAACUCACUCAGUUGACGAGCAGCUCCCAUUCCUACAACAUUCGGAUUUCCUCCAAGUACUCCAGCCAGCAUACCCAGAGCCUCAGCAAUCGCAGCAUCGUCUCUACCUCUUCCAGACAUCUCAAUCUGAAAGUCCAACAAGCUAAACAAUAAGUACUGAUAGGGUUACACAACACCUAUCCCGUACAGGGAAACGGAAUAAUUACGACUCGACUCGACCGACUAUGCUCUGAUACCACUAAUGUAACACCCUUCUAAAAAUACCCCAAAAAAAUUUAACUAAAAUAAUAAACAUAUAUCAAUCAGAGUAAUUAUACCCUUCAAGGGUGUCACACAAUCACUUCACACCAAUCAUCAAAUAUCCUGUCAUGCUCAUUUAUUUAAUCAAUAAAAAUUUGCAUAAUUCGCAGGGAUACAAAAAUAACAACAUCCAAAUCAUGUAACACAUUACAUGUAAAUGUUCAACAACCAAAGAAAACAUAGUAAACAAUCCCUCCCGAUGUUACAUCUACCAGAGCAUGACCCACUAAGGACUACACUAGACCCAAGACUAGCUUCUAUCAAUCACUGCUCGUUACCUGAAAAAUAUUGUAAGGGUGAGUUCCUCAAUCGAUAUAAUAGCAUUUAAAUAUCAUGUAAUGUAAGUAAUAUAACACAUCAUCACCUAAUCAAAUACACAUAUCCAACGCAAUAUCAACUAAUAAUCAUCACAUCAUCAUACUCAAAUCAAACAACCAAAAAACACACGUAUAAUAUUGGAAUCAUCCAUUCAUAUUAUACGCCAUACAUACAUAUAUAUGCAAUGAGACUCCAUGCAUGCGGUACCGACUAUCGUGAACAUAUAGUUCAACCUCACCGAUCAAAUCCAGUACGGCUACCAAGCUCACUAGUCCCAUCUCAUUUGAGACCUAGUGACUCACUCACUAAUUCCUCACCAUGGGAAUUAGCUACCACCCCAAGGGCUAUGCUAUGCACGCUAAUCACCUAGCAUGCAAACAUCACACAUCACAAAACUCAUCACUAAUUCCUCACCAUGGGAAUUAGCUACCACCAUAAAGGCCACAAAUGCAUGCUAUCACCUAGCAAUGCACAACUCAACAACAAUUCAAGAAUAGAAUAUGCUCACACUCUAAGCCAUAAAACAGUCUAUUCACAAUGCACACAUAACUGAUACAUUCACAGCAUCAUGCAUACAUCACACAUCAUCAUAUUUUAUCAAAUAAGCUUAUCAUAUCAUGCAAAUACACCAGUAUUAGCACACUCUACUAAUACCUAUACUACUCAACAAGGAAAUGAUCCCUAAUAUAUCAUACAUCACUAAUUACUUACUCAGCUGAACAAAAAACUGCACAACAACAGCUCAGAAAAUCACAAUCCUGCCCAUACGCGUAUUGCCUACCCCAUACGCGUAUGCCCAUUCCUCAGCCAAUCCAUACGCGUAACCAUCCAUACGCGUAUGCUACGCGUACCACUUCCCAUACGCGUACCAACAGAGACAACUCGUUCAAAACAUCAUCUUCCUCAUCCAUACGCGUAUUGCCUAGUGCCAUACGCGUACCAGCCAUCUCAUACGCGUAUUGCCUAGUGCCAUACGCGUAUGACCAGAAACCAGAUUUCCAGAUCUGCAAUGGCUUUCUCUGCUACGAGAUCUAUCCAUUCAACUUCCACGUCCAAUUUUACACAAAAUCGUUCAUAUCAUCUAACACGAAUCAUACCUAUUCGAUUUCACAAUUCUAACACUUUUACAUCUAAUUCUACGAAUUCCUUCAAUAUAAUCCAAUUUUCAUUCAUCCAUUUCACAAUUUCAUCAUCAUCAUUCAAUCAGGGACAAUCAAUGUUAUCACUACCCAUACAUUUAUCCCAUAAUACCCAUUAACGAGAUAAACCCCCCUUACCUGAGUUAAUCCGGCAAUCUCUGAGCUUCAAGCUUUCCUCUCUCAACCUUGUUCUCUGGCUCUCUUUGCCCUUUUCCACUUUCUGUCUCUUUUUCCUUUUCACGUGAAAAUAACCUUUUUACUAAAUGGGACCUUUUUCUAACUUCCAACUUUUAUUCCAAUAAAAUAAUAAAAAAAUAUGACCCCAAUAAUAAUAUUAAUAAUCCAAUAAUUUUCUAAUUAUUUAAUUAAAUUAAUAAAUAAAAUAUUAACUUAAUUUAAACAAUUAUCUUAAUUUCAUCGGGGUGUUACAAAGAGGGUGAGACAUAUCUCAAUAAUACUUAUAUUGGUUCAUCUGACACAAGGUUAUUGAUGAACCAAUUAGCCUUAAGACAUUAGAGAUUUGAUUGGUCAAAUAAGGGAAUAGGAAAGAAUAUGGAUGAAGAUGAAGAGAGAGGGGAAGAUAGAAACACAAAUUGACCAAGGUAGGAUUUUAUCAAAUCAAAACCAGUCAUUCAUUUUGGGAUAUGAAAUGUACAUUUCAUCAAUCCCCAAAAUCCAAUGGUUUUGAUGCAACAAAAGUCAAAUCAACCUUGAUCAAGGCCCAAACAGAAAGUCAAACAUCACAAGUCCAUAAAAAUGGCUCAACAUAAUUUUUAAACAAUUAAUCAAUUAAAAAUCACAUUAAAAAUGAAUAAAAAUGCAUUUUAAUUUGGUCAAAACCUAAAAUCCCUUCAAAACACCAAAUAAAUAGUCAAGGGGUUUAUCCUAAGUCAAACAAGGUCAAAUGACCUUAGACAAAAAAAUCACUAUUUUUUGAAAGUCAGAAGUAUUUUUAAACAAUUAAAAAUAUGUACAAAAACAUUUAAUUCAUGAAAAAUAUCAAAAUUAAUCCAAAAAAUAAUUUUAAUUUAGAAUAUGUAAGAGAAAAAUAUUUAAAGAUUUUUGGUGAAAGUCCCACAUUUUUUGGAUUAAAAAUGAAAUUGAUAUGAAUUAAACAAAAUAAAAGGAUUAAAUGAAAAUUCCGAAAAUAAAAAUAAAUUAGAAAAAAUAAGGGCCAUCAGAUUUCCCUUAUUAAUUGAGGUGACAGAUCUGAUGUCUACACGUGCGUUUUCCAUGGUAGUCUUCAGUCAAUGCAAUGAACGCGUGGUAUUCAAAAGCAAUGGCUCAGAUUAUAACAUCCAAACAUGAUCAGAUGGCCAGGAAGUGUGCCAACACACCACCGGAGCUAGGGCUCCGGUCAUCUUUUCCAGUGACCUCCACUGGACUAGUCCAACUUCAUCUCAAUGGAAAAUGAAAAACAAGGACACUAUUUCAAAGAGAAAAUGCUCAGAAUCUCGAAUCUGGCCUCAAUUUUCUCCAAUUCCAAGUAUAUAAAAAGAUACAAGGAUUUGAAUUUUGAGGAUCAUUAACUGAGUUGAUUAGAUUUAACCUCAAAGCAACUCAAUCUUGUUGCCUACAUUGGUAGGACUUCAGCCAACCAAAAAUCAAAGAGAAUGGUGAAGAAUUGAGAGAGAAUCGAAGAGAUGAAGUUUCUGAAAACUCACCUUCGAGGGAGCUUGAAUGUUGCUUGAUCUUGCUUCCAAUUGGUCUUGGCUUGACUUCAGAAGCUUGCAGAAGUUGAAUUGGAUCAAGGAAAGGCUUGGAUUCUUGGAGUUUCAACUUCAAAAUUGAAGUGAAAUUGAAACUCGAUUUUCAAUUGAAAACCUUAAAGUUUAUCCUCUAAUGUGAGGGUUAGGAUUGCAGGUUCAAAGCUUGGGCAAGGUGUCCAUAAUUUUGAGCAUGAAGGGUCUUAUUUAUAGGCAAUGCAAUUGGUUUUCACACCCUUCCAUCAAACUGCCAAAAAUAGAAAACUCCACUUGCAUGGUUGCAUGGGCGUGUGAUAGGCUCAUGAAAUGAUGUAAUCAGGUCUAAAUUUCAUCAUGUGCAAUGCUGAAAGUGUGUAAUGUGAUCAUGCAAUGGAAAUUGGAAAUUGAACAUGAGAUUCAUCCAAAUGGAGCCUUGAAGAGAAACCAUACGCAAAUUAUCUAAUUCUUGGCCAAAUGAGAUGAUCUUGGACUUUUUGGAAAGGUAAGAUCAAUGGGAACAACUUUCAUAUUUAACACUUUUCCAUUUUAAGCUUGGAUUAUGAUGAAUUUUGAGGUGGAAGUUUGGAAAAUCAAACAUAAAUGAAAAUUUUCUAAGUACCAAGCCAAAUGUUCACUUCUUCCACCUUGAAUAACUUUUUCUAUGGGAUUCAAAUGGAAAAAGUUACUUCAUAAAAGUUGUAUAUAUUUAAAACCUAUUCAAUUUGGUAACAAAUUUGACCUCAUUUGGAUUUGGCAUGAAGGAUUUGUGCAUUUUAGAAGUUGAGGAAAAUCACUUGUUCAAUGGUAAUGGCCCAAAGUGACCUAUAAUGUUUCCUCUUGGCACAUGCCCUUGCAAGUUGAAUUUUAAUUUAUUACAAAAAUAAAAGUUUUAUAGGACAUAUUUAAUUUGAUCAUUAAACUUGAAUUGACUUUAUGUCAUAAAAAUUGAGCAAGUUAUGGUCCUUGGAAGUUGACCUCCUAACUAUGGUUCAGACAAAAUGACCUAUAAUCUUUCACCAUAAAAAUGACUUUCCAAGAAAAACUAGAUAUUGACUUAAACAUGAAAGUUAUUUGGAAUGUCAUAAGGAGUAACUUUAAUCUUGGAAAUAAUUUUCAUAUGACAAAAAUUGUAGGAGAUAGGGUCUAGUGAACCCCAGUUUUGACUAGUUGACUUUCUCUGGUCAACCACCAUGAACCAACUUGCAAACUUGAAAUUACAUUGAUCUUUUGGACUCAUGUAGGAUAAUAUAUGUAUAAUAUGAUGUAAUAUGAAGUAUCACUUGAAAUAUUUGAUCACAUGAUGAAGAAACUUGUUGAGGAAGUCAUACAAGAUCCCUAGAUGAAUUAGGGCUUCCAAGACAAACAAACUUCAAACUCUUGAUGAAUUCUUGAUCAAAAUAAUAAUUGGAGAUCAUGGGGAUCCAUAUAUUAUGUAUAGAGUCAAUGUAAAUCAUCUCUUGAUUAUUCUCCUUGCAUCGAGGGUCUCAAACCCUAGAUAGGAGCUUGAUGGAACAUAAGUGAGCACACACACUACCUACAAAAGAAGUGGACUAUACGUUGACAUGUUUUUGGUAUUUUGGUUAGUAAAUAAUGAAAAACAAAUUAUGAUAAAAUCAAAUGUGCUUGGUGAUUUCUCCUAAUGAAAACCCAAUGAAUGAGAGACAAGGAGGAUGCCAAGGUGUGAUCCCAAAGCCAAUGCAUAUGAUGAGAUAUCACGAGGGAUCUUAGGGUCAAAAUUGAGGUCUUAAACUCCCUGCAAGAGGAAUGACGUACCUCAAAAGGCCACUGAUGAUAUAUGCCAUCCUUAAGCUGCCUUUGAUAAGGCUUCUAUCUAGACCCUUAUGAAACCAAAAUGGAGAAAGAGGCAACCUGAGGCGAGGUAGGAGUCGAUAGGGGCUGAAACCAACUUUAGAAUAGACCAAGUGUUAUGAAGGGUGUUACUGCAAAUGCAGAAGGAUCAGAGAGACUUUUAUAAAUUUUCAAAAGGUAAUUUUGAGUGAUAAAAAAGAAGUUGAAUGAGUGGAACUAUAAUGAUGAGGUUACGCCAAUUUUCCCAGACCAUAUUUAGGGGGAACUUGAAGAAUAGGACGACCAAGAGCAGAAAGUGGAGGAAGAAAGUGAAAAGGAAAAAGGGAAGAAGUAGAAAAAGGCUAUGUCCUCUGGUGCACCAGAAGCGUCUAACUCCGACGUUCAUAAGGAGGAAAGUGCUGAGAAGCCAAGGAAGAAGGAAAGAAAGGACAAAAAAACCAAAAAAAGGAAGACUAAUGGCGUACCUGAGAAAGACACUACUAAAAAUAUUGAGGAAGAAGAUAAAAGUGAUGUUGAAGAAAGCUCUAAGGAGGAUAAGAGGACUUUAAAGGAAUUGUUGACACAAGCUGUGAAGGAUAAAAAUAAGUUGUUGGCUUAUGCAUCUGUAAGGGUGCAAAAUAAAAGGAAUAUUAAAGAAGAAGAAGUCAAUAAUGAUGAAGAGCAAGAGGAUGAAAUAAAGGAGGUUGAUAAUGAAUUGGAUGGGAAGAAGGAGGAUGGAAACAUUAUUAAAGAGGAAUAGGAAGUUGUUGAGGAAAAGAAGGACGCAACUAAAGACUCACAAAUCCGAGUCUAAAGAAGAGUCUAAGGAGGAUAUGAGUAUUGAUGUGAUGCCUGUUAGCACUCCAGAAAAAGUGAAGAAGCCUGUGAAGGUCAACACUUAUGCCCCCAACAAAGGUUACACAAUAGAAGAAAUACCCCGCCACAACCAAGCUUAUAGUCAAGCCCAAGUCUCCUCCUAUGAAAACUCAAGCUAAGUAGAUUAAGGUGCCUAUAGCUAUCACGACUGAAGUUGUCUCUGAGGCACCAAAGACUUCAAAGAAACCAAUCCUGCCAGAGCAUGCCUAGAAGGAGGCUAGAAAGAAUAAGAAAGAAAAAAAAUGCUUUGAGGAAGAGUAGAAGGCUUAAUGCCUAGCUGGUAUUUCUCUUAACCUUUAUUGAGGGGAAACCUAUGGCGGGCCCCAUUUCAUCAGCUGACAGUAAGGACAUUGUCCUUAAAUUAAGUCUGGGGGAGUGGCGGCUUAUGUCGUAACCUUGUCCAUCAAUCCAAUCAUUAUCAUCAUCAUCUGUUUUGUUGUUGUUUAAUUAAGUUGUUUGCUUUUAAUAUUUUGUUGUUGGUUGGCUGCCUUCAGCCGUAUUUCUAUUAAAUCAAUGAAACUGUAUUUGUAACCCCUAGAAGACAUAAUAAAAACAGAGGAAAAAAACUGACUGCAACCCCUAGAAGACAAACAACUCUAAAAGACUUAGGAAAAAUCUGGUAGGAUUAUGACAAUAUCGGAAACAAGGUCUUAAUUGCUAAUCAAUUGCACCCUUGUGUUUUUUAUAACCCCCGUCGCAUCUCUAGUAGUCAGAAAAGUAGGUAGCCUUUUGAUAAAAUUGAAUUAUUUUAAAGUAUGGAAUAUGAGUUCACUGUAGGAUUUACUCAGGGGAGGUUACUAAUGAUGUUUAGCAUCUAGUACAUUGGACAUACUGCAUAUGAAAAUAAACAUACAAAAGUGUGUAAAUGAAGUAAGUCAAAAUGCACUUCUUAAAUAAGUUCAUGUACCCGAAACUAGAGAAAUAGUAGGUGUCUUCACCAUUAAUACUAGAUUUGACUCAUUACAAGUGAGAUCAUGUCAGGGGAAAAGGUGGAGCAUCUAUCAAGUUUAUCAAUAAAUGCACGUCUGUUCCUAAGUACAAAAGUCUGAAAAUAGAAUAGUCAAAUCCCCCUGAUGAAAUUGAAAAAUAAAGUCUUGAACCAUAAGAUAAGGCAACCAAAGUUAAAUCAAGGCUAACUAUCUUUGAAUGAAGAGUACUGGUGUGGCAUGUAACAUCAAUAAUGCACAGAGCACGCGCACAUACACACACUUGUGAUCAAGCUUCAAGGAUAAGUUCAAAAUGAUGCUUCAAAAGCCUUUAAUACAUUACUCAUUCACUAAGGAUCAUAUUACUCACUACGCAUCACUAAUGGUUGAGAUAACUUCAAAAAAUGUUUGAAAGUAGACAAAUGUUCUAAAGAAGAGGAAAUAUCAUCAUUAACUAGCACAAAGACACAUGUCAAUCACCCGCAACGAAACGUUACCUAUUACAAGAAAGACAUUUAAAACACAUAUUCCGAAGGGCAACAAUGUCACAUCAAAGGCUUUCAUGUCCUCGAAUUCAGUGGUUGAAUAGGAACACUUAUUACAAACCUUCGCCUUGCAAAGCUGGCACAAGGAUUUGGAAGACAACUAUUAUGGGCCGCCCAUAAUACCUAAGGAUAAAGUUCCAAUAGUAAAACAAAAGAGUAAAGUGUAGAACAAUUAAACUCGUUUUCUCUUUCUGAGCAUGCAAUCUUGCAUAUGGAAGGUCUACUGGACAUCUAGAUCAAUUCGACAAUUGACCGUGAUCCACACCCUAUUCCACGCUUUCUAUUGCCAACCACUUCUCCUAUUUAAGCGAAUGGAUUACCUCCCUCAUAACAUUUUGUGGAUCACAACUCUAAAUCAUGGUUAAAGACUUUUAUCUUUAAAAAAAAAUAGAUAGGUCUGAAUUGAAACAGAGUUAGUAUGUGACUGUGGGCGAAAUUGAAUGCACGGUUACCUUGACAUUGAAACACAGAGUAGUUUGUGACUUUGACAUUAGAAUUUUAAGAGAGAAAUUAGUGGAAUACUAAUGUGUUUUAAGGGAUUGAGCGUGAUAUGAAUAUCCUUUUCUGAGUUUAUUAUCAACACCCUGCGGCUUGAUUGUGAUAGGAAUAUUCCAUCUAUCUAUCCAUCCACAGGUGAAACACCAUUACCAACUUAUUCAUUCAUUCAAGUGAUUGUGUAAGUAACACUACAUGUGUACUAGUACUACUACUGUCUUUUAUUACGUUAAACCGACACGUUGUAGGAAACACGUCUUAGAUAGAUGAGAAUAUCUAUAAUUUUUGUCCUAUUUAACUAUUUUUAAAGACACUAGUAAUUUUAAGAAUACUAAUUUUACCCUUUUGCUUUUAUUUUAAUAGCUGAAAUUAUAAUAUUUUUUAAAAAUUUUAUUUAUAAGAAAAAAAUGAUUUUUUAAAUUUAUUAAAUAAACAAUAUAUUUAAUUUAUCAUACAUACAUUAAUUAAAUAAAUUUAAAAAAAUAAUUAUUUUUUUAUAAAUAGAAUAAAAGUUAGUAUGUUUUAUCUUUUUGUUUUUAUUUUAUAGCUGGAAUUUCAGUUAUUAAAAACGAAUAUGUUAAAAUGUUAUAGGUUGGAACCCAUGUCUUUCCAAUUAUAUGUUAUUGCAUAACUAUAAACUAUGUUGAACUACACUAAUUUAAGCAUAUAUUUGGAAAAAGUUACCUGGAAAUUAGAAGUGACACAAUGUUUUAGAAACAAAUAUUUGUUACGAUAAGUGUGUUAACAAAUAGGCCACCGACAUACGACAGUUGCGACCAGCAGAGGUUGCUAACGUGCGCGUCAUCAAUCUCUACUAUUCAAGCUAAGUUCAUUCAUUGUCUUCUUCUUCUUCCUCACCUUCUCAAAUCCUCACAUUCCCAAUUUCUUCACUCUGCAAACCCAAUUUCUAGGGUUUUCCAUAAAUCACAAACCUCACGGUGGUUCAAUUCAAUCCACCGCCGAUUGUUAUGUAAUGAGGCGGCGCCCUGUGGCGGCCAUUCUCCAAGAUCAAAUGGAGAAAUCAACAACCAAAACCCAAAAUUCCCGAAUCUGCUUCCUCGCUAUUCUCACCGCUUUCUUCUGGCUCUUUCUCCUUUACUUCCAUUUCAUCAUCCUCCCCCAACAAAAUCAACCACAAUCCACCAUUUCCACCACCGUAAACAACCAACUAACAUCCCUCCACCACCAACCAUAUUCACCGCCACCGCCACCGCCACCACCACCGCCAGCAUCAUUACCCAAAUUCAAGAGUCCUCCAAGGAAGAACUUUGGCUUCCCUGAUAAGUCAACACUACAAUCACAAUCCCCUCC